UACGAAGGGGGCUAGCGUUGCUCGGAAUUACUGGGCGUAAAGCGCACGUAGGCGGUCUUUUAAGUCGGGGGUGAAAUCCUGGAGCUCAACUCCAGAACUGCCUUCGAUACUGGAAGACUCGAGUCCGGGAGAGGUGAGUGGAACUGCGAGUGUAAGAGGUGAAAUUCGUAGAUAUUCGCAAGAACACCAGUGGCGAAGGCGGCUCACUGGACCACAACUGACGCUGAUGCACGAAAGCUAGGGGAGCAAACAGG
rnacentral:rRNA from 1 species